rnacentral:tRNA from 1 species
CACCAAGAAGCUAUUCCAGCACUAACCUUUUAAGUUAGAGACUGAGAGUACCGCACUCUCCUUGGUGG